ensembl:lncRNA
AUGCUGAGGCCGAGUUUGACCAGAGGAGUGUCUGUCUCCCUCCCUUCCUCCCCGCUUCUCCCUCCCCGCCAACCCUAUCUUUCUCCUGUCCGGUCCAACAAGUCACCAGGUUCAGUCAGGACACCAAAAUAUGUGGAGAAUCCUUGUGUUUCUGGAGAUCCUGUCACCUGUGCUCUGAAGAACAGGAAGAAGAACAAUACUGGUGAGUACUUCUGUGAGUGUGUGUGUGUGCACCAGUCGGUCUGUUAUGAAAUGCAUUCUUUUUUAAUGAAUGUUUGCAUUUGUAGUUUCAUUGAUUUUUAUCUGUGGGUCAGGUUUUAUGUUGUGGGUACCAGAUGUCCUCACUAGGAUAGUAAAGAGAUAACCAGACAUAACCUACGUUUUAUGAAUAAAUAAUGCUUCCUUAAUGAAAAUGUUUGUUUG